rnacentral:rRNA from 1 species
GACGAACUGCCCAAACGUUGUUCGGAAUCACUGGGUUUAAAGGGUGCGUAGGUGGGUUGGUAAGUCAGUGGUGAAAUCUCCGUGCUUAACAUGGAAACUGCCAUUGAUACUACUGGUCUUGAAUUUUCUGGAGGUAAGCGGAAUAUGUCAUGUAGCGGUGAAAUGCUUAGAUAUGACAUAGAACACCAAUUGCGAAGGCAGCUUACUACAGGGACAUUGACACUGAGGCACGAAAGCGUGGGGAUCAAACAGG